rnacentral:rRNA from 1 species
AGCCACAGCCAUAUCACCCUGCAGCCCAAGAGUUACUCACUGAAAAUAAGCAGGGCUGAGCCUGGUCAGUACCCGGAUGGGAGACCACAUGGGAAAACUAGGUUGCUGUUGGAA